ACGAACGCUGGCGGCGUGGAUAAGACAUGCAAGUCGAACGAGAGAAUUGCUAGCUUGCUAAUAAUUCUCUAGUGGCGCACGGGUGAGUAACACGUGAGUAACCUGCCCCCGAGAGCGGGAUAGCCCUGGGAAACUGGGAUUAAUACCGCAUAGUAUCGAAAGAUUAAAGCAGCAAUGCGCUUGGGGAUGGGCUCGCGGCCUAUUAGUUAGUUGGUGAGGUAACGGCUCACCAAGGCGAUGACGGGUAGCCGGUCUGAGAGGAUGUCCGGCCACACCGGAACCGAGACCCGGGCCAUACACCUACGGGUGGCCGCAGUUGAGAAUCCUUCACAAUGGGGGAAACCCUGAUGGUGUGACGCCGCGUGGGGGAAUGAAGGUCUUCGGAUUGUAAACCCCUGUCAUGUGGGAGCAAAUUAAAAAGAUAGUACCACAAGAGGAAGAGACGGCUAACUCUGUGCCAGCAGCCGCGGUAAUACAGAGGUCUCAAGCGUUGUUCGGAAUCACUGGGCGUAAAGCGUGCGUAGGCUGUUUCGUAAGUCGUGUGUGAAAGGCGCGGGCUCAACCCGCGGACGGCACAUGAUACUGCGAGACUAGAGUAAUGGAGGGGGAACCGGAAUUCUCGGUGUAGCAGUGAAAUGCGUAGAUAUCGAGAGGAACACUCGUGGCGAAGGCGGGUUCCUGGACAUUAACUGACGCUGAGGCACGAAGGCCAGGGGAGCGAAAGGGAUUAGAUACCCCUGUAGUCCUGGCAGUAAACGGUGCACGCUUGGUGUGCGGGGAAUCGACCCCCUGCGUGCCGGAGCUAACGCGUUAAGCGUGCCGCCUGGGGAGUACGGUCGCAAGAUUAAAACUCAAAGAAAUUGACGGGGACCCGCACAAGCGGUGGAGUAUGUGGCUUAAUUCGAUGCAACGCGAAGAACCUUACCUGGGCUUGACAUGUAAUGAACAACAUGUGAAAGCAUGCGACUCUUCGGAGGCGUUACACAGGUGCUGCAUGGCCGUCGUCAGCUCGUGUCGUGAGAUGUUUGGUUAAGUCCAGCAACGAGCGCAACCCCUGUUGCCAGUUACCAGCACGUGAAGGUGGGGACUCUGGCGAGACUGCCCAGAUCAACUGGGAGGAAGGUGGGGACGACGUCAGGUCAGUAUGGCCCUUAUGCCCAGGGCUGCACACGUACUACAAUGCCCAGUACAGAGGGGGCCGAAGCCGCGAGGCGGAGGAAAUCCUGAAAACUGGGCCCAGUUCGGACUGUAGGCUGCAACCCGCCUACACGAAGCCGGAAUCGCUAGUAAUGGCGCAUCAGCUACGGCGCCGUGAAUACGUUCCCGGGUCUUGUACACACCGCCCGUCACAUCAUGGAAGCCGGUCGCACCCGAAGUAUCUGAAGCCAACCGCAAGGAGGCAGGGUCCUAAGGUGAGACUGGUAACUGGGAUG
rnacentral:rRNA from 1 species